GAAGGGAGCGCGCAACCCAUUGAAAACAACAUAUUACAGGACUUUUUCCCAACUGCCUUUUAAGCAGUGGGUCCGGGGUUCGAAUCCCCGACGGGUCACCA
rnacentral:tRNA from 1 species